GAUGAACGCUAGCGGCAGGCCUAACACAUGCAAGUCGAGGGGUAGAAGGAGCUUGCUCCUUUGAGACCGGCGCACGGGUGCGUAACGCGUAUGCAAUCUACCUUGUACAGGGGAAUAGCCCAGAGAAAUUUGGAUUAAUGCCCCAUAGUAUAUAACCUUCGCAUGUUGGUUAUAUUAAAGUUCCAACGGUACAAGAUGAGCAUGCGUCCCAUUAGUUAGUUGGUAAGGUAACGGCUUACCAAGACGAUGAUGGGUAGGGGUCCUGAGAGGGAGAUCCCCCACACGGGUACUGAGACACGGACCAGGCUCCUACGGGAGGCAGCAGUGAGGAAUAUGGGUCAAUGGUCGCAAGACUGAACCAGCCAUGCCGCGUGCAGGAAGACGGUCCUAUGGAUUGUAAACUGCUUUUAUACAGGAAGAAACCCUCCCACGUGUGGGAGCUUGACGGUACUGUAGGAAUAAGGAUCGGCUAACUCCGUG
rnacentral:rRNA from 1 species